CCGCGGUAAUACGGAAGGUGCGAGCGUUAAUCGGAAUAACUGGGCGUAAAGCGCGCGCAGGUGGUUGAGUCAGCCAGAUGUGAAAGCCCCGGGCUUAACCUGGGAACUGCAUUUGAAACUGCUUAACUAGAGUGCGGUAGAGGGCGGUGGAAUUUCCUGUGUAGCGGUGAAAUGCGUAGAUAUAGGAAGGAACACCAAUGGCGAAGGCGACUGCCUGGACUGAUACUGACACUGAGGUGCGAAAGCGUGGGUAGCAAACAGGAUUAGAUACCCUGGUAGUCCACGCCGU
rnacentral:rRNA from 1 species